GGAGCCGUAUCAGCUGUAAUUCACGGCUGUUCAUGUGAAUCUUCGUACUUUCUUUUGCACCCAAGAGAACGUCAGAAGCGAACAUACCUAGAAAUAAAAGUGCUGGUGAUGCAUAAUCCCACAGCUGAGCAGGACCCAUCAGAUGUGUCUAUAGUAAUGGAAGGCAGCAAAGUUUUGAGCGGGUGUGGAAUCAGAACCACAGCAUGGAUACUGUUGAUGGGAAUGAUAUAUGCACUGAACAUGGAGUAUCCAAGAAACCUGAAGUACAGUUUUGAAAUGUUCAAAAAGCUUUUUUUGGAACUUGAUGGAGCAAACCCCCUCAAGAAGGUCCAAACCUUUAAACGUAAGAUUAGGGAAUAAGCUUUUUUUUUACUGUACAUUUGCUUUAGCCAACAAAGACAUUUUUGGAUGGAAAAUGUAAGAAUUUCAACGAUGACUUUUAUCUCAAUUGAAAUUGAUGUUAAGAAUAAGAAUAUUGCUAUGAAUGUAUAUUUUGACAUCCAGCGAAAACUAUUUAUAUUUUAUUUAAAUGAGUUUGCAAUAGUUUUGUGUUACUUGAAUUUGAAUGUAAAAGGGCUCUUUUGUACUUGCAUUAGUUAGCGUUUAAUAUUAAAAAAUAUGAAAUGCAUCUUUGUGUCCCAAUAGCAUGUCAAUCCACAUGCUAUAGCAUGUGAUCUGCCUUUCAUUACAGAUCUUGUGUUGCAACCACUGCAAAACCACAAUGCAUAGGAUAAUAGUUGCUUGUUGUUUAAAAGGACAAAAUGUUAUAGUUGUAUGUAUAGGAAAUGUUGCUUCUAAUGUAUAUUCUGACAUCCAGUGAAGACAGUAGUUUGUUUUUAAAUAGAACAUUUUCAUGAAUUUGUAAUGUGAAAAAUAGUUGUAAUUCAACUUGAAUGUAGAAGGGGUCUUUUGCACUUGCAUUAGUGUCUAAUGUUUAAAAGAUGAAAUGUUUGUGUCAGCAGUCCUUGUUUAUUUUGAAAUGUUAGGAGUAAUUUAUAGAAGUGAUGUGGUAUGUUAUUAGAAAUUGAGUGUAAGAGGAUUUCAUUAUUUACAAAAUAAAGUUGUAAUUGAA